GGCUGGAAGCGAGAAGGAAGCGGGAAGGUGGAAGAGAUCGGAAUAGUUUCAAACAAGGCCCGAUUCUCCUGAGGUCAGCUCGAUUUGCCCUCUAAUCCUGGGCGACGCAGGGUUCAAGGAUCUUCUGAAUCUCAUCCCAUUGUAGGAACUGCUGCUGUACUCAGAGAAUGUUGUUCAGAAGGGGAGACAGGCAAUAAAUAUAAGAUGAAGUUAUGAGGAGAGAAGCUAUUCAUAGCUAAAACUCUAGCUAAAAUGGCUAUUAUUUAUUGCACGGAACUGAAAUCGGAUGAAGUCGAGAAACCCAACGUACAAACCCAGAAGCUGAGAUACUACACAAGCGGACGUAUUUCAAGGACAAAUCCAAAGAAUCAAACUUGGUCUGUGACUAGAAUGUACACCAUCGUCUCUCCUGAGUCUCCAGCUUGCUGACUGCAGAUCUUGGGACUUGCCAGCCUUAAUAAUCACGUCAACAGCCAGUGAAAACCUGAGGUCCACCAACAGCCAUGUGAGUGAGCGUGGGAUUGGAGCUUCCCUAGUCAAGCCUUGAAACGACAGCGGCCUCUGACCUCCUGAUGGAAGCCUUGUGAAAGACUCAGUGCCAGAGAACCCAACUCAGCUGUGCCUGGAUUACUGACUCACAGAAGACCUUUGUACCAGCCAGACACUUUCCCUGGUACACUCUUCCCAGGGCUCUUUCCUCAUCAACAAGAUGUCAGCUGAAAUGCUAGCUCCUCAGAGAGACUUUCACCAGCCACCUACUUAAAGCUGACUUAUAGAAAGGAGAUAAAUUAGACUCUCUACAGGGAGCUGCAGUAUUGUGGCAGAGCCCAGGGAUGGAGUCAGACGAUGAAUGUCAAAUUCUAAAUUCUCCACUUGAAAAUCACCUGACCUUGGAGAAUAAGGAUAGUACUCGUGCCCUGGAAACCUUGUGAGAUUACAGAGACCACGUGGAAAGGUAUCACCAAGUCCUACUCUGUGCUUUCCAGGUGGAACCCUUAAGGCCUGAUAUUCAGAAACAGUAUGCUCCAGGUUUCCCUGAGUUUCCUGGCUCCUGGUUCCUGGUUGGGAAUCUUUCCACUCCUUCACAAUGUCCCAACUCUUUUCAGCCAUUUUGGUCUUUUCUGUCUUCUUCAACCAGUCAGUCAGCAUGUACCCAGGAGGGGCUCCAGCCUGCCAGGUAUACUUACUGUCAGAGACCCCAUCACACAUCACCAAAACAUGAUAUGUUUUGGUGCUCACAUCAAAUUAAAAAAAAAAAAAAGUAUAUAACUAUAUGAAGAUUGGAUUGCCUUACCCCUCAA